rnacentral:rRNA from 1 species
UACGUAGGGGGCAAGCGUUGUCCGGAAUCAUUGGGCGUAAAGAGCGUGUAGGCGGUCCGGUAAGUCUGCUGUCAAAGCGUCUGGCUCAACCAGAUAAAGGCAGUGGAAACUACAUAGCUAGAGUAAGGUAGGGGUAGAGGGAAUUCCUGGUGUAGCGGUGAAAUGCGUAGAGAUCAGGAAGAACACCGGUGGCGAAAGCGCUCUGCUGGACCUUAACUGACACUGAGGGACGAAAGCUAGGGGAGCGAAUGGG